rnacentral:rRNA from 1 species
AUUGAACGCUGGCGGCAUGCCUUACACAUGCAAGUCGAACGGUAACAGGUCUUCGGAUGCUGACGAGUGGCGAACGGGUGAGUAAUACAUCGGAACGUGCCUAGUAGUGGGGGAUAACUACUCGAAAGAGUGGCUAAUACCGCAUGAGAUCUACGGAUGAAAGCAGGGGAUCGCAAGACCUUGCGCUACUAGAGAGGCCGAUGGCAGAUUAGGUAGUUGGUGGGAUAAAAGCUUACCAAGCCGACGAUCUGUAGCUGGUCUGAGAGGACGAUCAGCCACACUGGGACUGAGACACGGCCCAGACUCCUACGGGAGGCAGCAGUGGGUAAUUUUGGACAAUGGGCGAAAGCCUGAUCCAGCAAUGCCGCGUGCAGGAUGAAGGCCUUCGGGUUGUAAACUGCUUUUGUACGGAACGAAAAGCCCCGGGUUAAUACCCUGGGGUCAUGACGGUACCGUAAGAAUAAGCACCGGCUAACUACGUGCCAGCCGCCGCCGUAA